GGCAGGCAGUUUGACUGGGGCGGUCGCCUCCUAAAAGAUAACGGAGGCGCUCAAAGGUUUGCUCAGAAUGGUUGGAAAUCAUUCGUAGCGUGUAAAGGCAUAAGCAAGCUUGACUGUGAGACUGACAAGUCGAGCAGGUACGAAAGUAGGACUUAGUGAUCCGGUGGUUCCGUAUGGAAGGGCCAUCGCUCAACGGACAAAAGCUACCCCGGGGAUAACAGGCUCAUCUCCCCCAAGAGUCCACAUCGACGGGGAGGUUUGGCACCUCGAUGUCGGCUCAUCGCAUCCUGGGGCUGUAGUCGGUCCCAAGGGUUGGGCUGUUCGCCCAUUAAAGCGGUACGCGAGCUGGGUUCAGAACGUCGUGAGACAGUUCGGUCCCUAUCCGUCGUGGGCGCAGGAAAUUUGAGAGGAUCUGUCCUUAGUACGAGAGGACCGGGAUGGACAUACCUCUGGUGUACCAGUUGUUCUGCCAAGAGCACCGCUGGGUAGCUACGUAUGGAUUAGAUAAUCGCUGAAAGCAUCUAAGUGAGAAACUAACCUCGAGAUGAGAUUUCCCAUUCGUCAGAAGUAAGACCCCUGAGAGACGAUCAGGUAGAUAGGCUAGAAGUGGAAGUGUAGUGAUGCAUGGAGCGGACUAGUACUAAUAGGUCGAGGACUUAACCAAG
rnacentral:rRNA from 1 species